rnacentral:lncRNA from 1 species
AACAUCCUUUGUGGUGUCUAGAUUCCGUUAGACUCCCCACUAGAACAAUAGAUCAUCCUUACCAAGGUUAGAAGGAGACUACGGUUGCAGUCUUCUUUAUUUAUCACUCACAUCGAGAGACAUUCUUUGUUGCCUAAAGGGUUAGUAGUAAUAGACCGGUUAGUCAGAUGCACUCUUUCUCCUAGUGGUAAAAAAAUAAAUACGAUACUCUGGAUAACC